CGAAGGUCCCGAUGCGGUCGCUCCCCGUGAGGGGAGAGGAAAGUCCGAACUCCGACGGGCAGCAUGCUCGCCAACGGCGAGGCGCGGUGACGCGACGGAAAGUGCAACAGAGAGCAGACCGCCGCGGCCCUCGUGGUCGCGGUAAGGGUGAAACGGUGCGGUAAGAGCGCACCGCCCGGCCGGCGACGGUCCGGGGCACGGCAAACCCCAUGCGGAGCAAGACCGAAUAGGGGAGCGUGACGCGGGCCGCCCGUCCCGUCUUCGCGGUUCGCCGCGAGCGCGCUUCCGGGUAGGUCGCUGGAGGCCGGCGGCAACGACGGCUCGAGAGGAAUGACCGCGACCGGCUUUCGGGUCGGUACAGAAUUCGGCUUACCGGGACCUUCGCCCU
rnacentral:RNase_P_RNA from 1 species